GAUCCAACUGUAGCCCACAGCCGUGAGCAGUAAACUCACUUAAAGUCACCCCAGGAAAGAAAGCUACCAAGAAGUUGGACUCUUCUAUGCAGAGAUGCACAAUUUCUCCUUCGGCUCAGCUUCUCCCCAGACAGCAGCAAAGCCAGAACAACUUCCUAAUUAGCCCUGGAAUUGCCCCCAGGCAAUCUGCAGAUGAGUCGCCCUUGAAGUACAGCCCCGAGGACAGACGUGUUCAGAGGCAUCUUCUGCAGCUUUCGCACGAAAACAGAGCCAUCAGAAUGGUCAGCACCAGCCGUGUGGGAUCCAGGCCACCUAUAACCACAGCUUUAACGUUUGUGUGCCCCUGGGGACCCCGCAGACAAGGAUUUCCUCUACACUCCUGCUCCUGGCCUGCUGUGGGGCUGUAGGAAGUCAUUUUGCAGCUGUCUGCCUCAGUUUCCCCCACACACAGAGUCCUGAUCCCCGGGUGAGGGAGGGAGACAGCCAGUGCCGGUUCCUUGCACCACAGCCCCACCAAGAUCCCCACCAGUGCUUCCCCCGGCGAAUCCUUCUGAGGCAAGCACCAAGAAAAGUCCCCACCACCUGCAUUUUUUGGGCCAGACCGUCUUCAUGGAGAACUGCUUGCAAGAAACACGUUAUGCUCCAGAGUCUGGUGGCCCUAAACAUUAGAGGAGAUGGCUCCUAGCUCUUUGUGGACUGGUUACGUUGGCUGCAGUCUGGGCUAAAAGAAACAUGAAGCAGAGCAUGAUCAUCACAGCAGAGCUCCACGACAAUUUAACUCACAUCUUUGAGAGCUCAGUACCCGGGACUGCUCCGCAUCUGUCGAAUCGCAGCCUGCGUUUCUGGAUCUGGAGGUCUGGGGUUCCCCAAUGAGAAUCCUACUUACUGAAAGGUAAGAAGUUGAAGUAUCAGUUAACAUCACUUCCAGGAAGGAGCAGAGACCCUUUCGCCAGCCCUGGGAACCUCUGAAGGAGGUGGGCUCCCACCAUCUCCUGGAAAAGGCCGGAGCAACUAUCAAACGUCCAACCCCCAGCUUUUGUCAGAAAGCCGCUUCUCCCAGGCGUGAGAGACUUCGUGCACCCAAGAAAAGGUGGUGCAUCCUCUACUGCCCAUCUCUGGGGCACAGCCAAAGCCUUGCUGCAGGACAAACUGAGCCAAGCUUCCUUCUCCUGCCAGCACAGCAAGGAAGCCCAAAUCCGAGCAAACCAAAAGGAAAAGC